rnacentral:misc_RNA from 1 species
GAUGAAGAACGCAGCGAAAUGCGAUACGUAAUGUGAAUUGCAAAUUCAGUGAAUCAUCGAGUCUUUGAACGCACAUUGCGCCCCCUGGUAUUCCGGGGGGCAUGCCUGUCCGAGCGUCAUUGCUGCCCUCAAGCACGGCUUGUGUGUUGGGCCCCGUCCUCCGAUCCCGGGGGACGGGCCCCAAAGGCAGCGGCGGCACCGCGUCCGGUCCUCGAGCGUAUGGGGCUUUGUCACCCGCUCUGUAGGCCCGGCCGGCGCUUGCCGAUCAACCCAAAUUUUUAUCCAGGUUGACCUCGGAUCAGGUAGGGAUACCCGCUGAACUUAAGCAUAUCAAUAAGCGGAGGA